CAACGAGCGCAACCCUCGACUUUAGUUACCAUCAUUAGUUGGGUACUUUAAAGUAACCGCCGGUGAUAAGCCGGAGGAAGGUGGGGAUGACGUCAAGUCCUCAUGGCCCUUACGCGCUGGGCUACACACGUGCUACAAUGGCAAGUACAGUGGGCAGCAAUCCCGCGAGGGUGAGCUAAUCUACCAAAACUUGUCUCAGUUCGGAUUGUUCUCUGCAACUCGAGAGCAUGAAGGCGGAAUCGCUAGUAAUCGCGGAUCAGCAUGCCGCGGUGAAUACGUUCCCAGGCCUU
rnacentral:rRNA from 1 species